rnacentral:rRNA from 1 species
GUCUAUAGCCAUACCACCCUGAAUGCACCCGAUCUUGUCUGUUCUCAGAAGCUAAGCAGGGUCAGGCCUGGUUAGUACUUGGAUGGAAGACUGCCUGGGAAUACUGUGUGCCAUAGGCU